GUCAGUCACACACCUCGACUUUCUUCCAAAUAACGCACAUUUCAUUCAUAAUGUUAUAAUACAGGCCUAUAGUUUCUGCAAAUGAAACUAGUUAAUACAAAACGAUUAUGUGGUCAUCAAGGUGAAUUGGUUUAGUCUUGACUUCUGGUCCUGAGUGACAGUUGGGGGGAUGGGAAAUCUGUUGAUUGUCGAGUGCCAAAUAAACAGAGAUGGAGAAGAAAAGGUCAAAGCCAGGUGCCCAAUUUCGAAAAAAAAGAAAAGAAGAAGAGGAGAAACGAGCAAAAGAUAAAGGGGCACUUCUAAAAUAUUUUGGAGCAUCCUCUGCCACUGGUCAGGAUGAGCCAACCACCUCCUCCGCUACACAUAUGUCUCCACAAAUAUCUGAUAUUGAGGAUGAAGACCUCUUUGCCUCUACUUCUACCCAGCAUGAGCUUUCACAAAUGCCUGGAGCUGAACCCCCACUGAGCCCCACUGGCCCUCACAUCUGACUGACAGGAUUCGGACUGAGCUGGUUCACAGAGGACCAAGUAAAGUGCCACCUGGCUUUGUUUUCCGUAGGAAUGAGAGUAAUGGGAGAAGUUGCCACCACUAAUAUUUUAAGAAGACAUUAGUAAGUGGUGAAAAGAUGGCAAGAAGUUGGCUGAUUUAUUCAAUUAAUAACAACAGCCUCUUUUGCUUCUGCUGCAAAUUGUUUUCCAAGAGGAACAUCAAUUUAACAAGUGCAGGAAUGGCAAAUUGGAAACAUGCAUGCAAUGAUCUCACAUCAUAUG